UCCUAGCCCUGAUUGAAGUGAUAUCUUUUAUCUCUGUCGGGGUUGUAAAACCCACAGGGAUAAAAAUAAAACGGAAAGCAGGAAAAAGG
rnacentral:sRNA from 1 species